rnacentral:rRNA from 1 species
UACGAGGGGGGCAAGCGUUGUUCGAAAUUAUUGGGCGUAAAGGGUGCGUAGGCGGUUUUGUAAGUCUUGUGUGAAAUCUUCAGGCUCAACUUGAAGACUGCACGAGAAACUGCAGGGCUUGAGUGUGGGAGAGGUGAGUGGAAUUCCUGGUGUAGCGGUGAAAUGCGUAGAUAUCGGGAGGAACACCUGUGGCGAAAGCGGCGCACUGGACCACAACUGACGCUGAGGCGCGAAAGCUAGGGGAGCAAACAGG